CAGUUACAAUGGGAGAAGCCAGCUGCCUGGCCAUGAGCAGCCACCUGGAGAGGCCCGUGACAAGGAACUGAAGCCCCCUGCCAACAGCCAUGUGACUGAACUUGGAAGGACAUUCUCCAGCCCAUUCAUGACUUCAACCUUAACCAACAACUUCACUGUAACCUUGAGAGGCCCUGAGGCAAGAUCACCCAGAGCAAUCACCUGACUGACCUAUCAUGAGUCAUGUGAUCAUCUUUUGACCAAGGAACAACAGAACACCAUGAUUGACAGUCCAAUCAAGACUGCGGAAUGAGGAACACAGGCUUUUUUCCUUGUUGAAAGGAAUACUGAGGUGCUGUUACCAGAGGGAAAGGGAAGAAUGGAUUCUGGGAUUUAAAAAAACACAGAGACCCACUAAAGCGUGGCUUCCAAAAUUUUUGACC
rnacentral:lncRNA from 1 species